CCAGCAGCUGCGGUAAUUCCAGCUCCAAUAGCGUAUAUUAAAGUUGUUGCAGUUAAAAAGCUCGUAGUCGAAUUUUGGAGGUAGAGGGCUGGUCCGCCGCAAGGUGUGCACUGUUCGGGGCGGCCAUCCUCUUGAGGACCGCGUGUGCCCUUCACUGGGUGGGCGCGGGACUCAGGACCUUUACUUUGAAAAAAUUAGAGUGUUCAAAGCAGGCUUACGCUUGAAUACAUUAGCAUGGAAUAAUGGAAUAGGACUUUGGUUCUAUUUUGUUGGUUCUAGGACCGAAGUAAUGAUUAAUAGGGAUAGUUGGGGGCAUUCGUAUUUAAUUGUCAGAGGUGAAAUUCUUGGAUUUAUGAAAGACGAACAUCUGCGAAAGCAUUUGCCAAGGAUGUUUUCAUCGAUCAAGAACGAAAGU
rnacentral:rRNA from 1 species